AACUAGCAGAGAAAAAGAAACUAGAACGAGAACCACAGGGCAUUCUAAGCAGCAGACAUCUAGGCAAAUACUUCCAUGUUACAGCACGUACUAUACAUAUUCUAGAAAUAACAGACAAACUAGCAACAAUACGAGGCAUUCACUACGCUCACUGAAACUACAGCGGUAACCAGAGUAACGAACUCAAAGAGACCAACAGGAAACAACAGGAUACUUUGAGACAUAUACUUGGGAUUGAUGAAAUUACUCGACCAAAAAGAGAGGUCCAACAUAAUGAAAACGAAAAGUACGUUCGGGCAAAGUCUUGUAUGAGAAUCACUACUCCGGGUCUUUAUUCAUAGUCACGAAUAAGCUUCUCCCAAGUCCUCUCAGCAAUUCAAAGAUGAGACUGACUUCUAUUAAGUAAUCGGAUAAGACAGAUGCGCGGGCACGAGCGGUCUGGUGUCCGAGUCAAUUGGUCAGACGAUGACUACUUCAAUUAUUAGAUUAGUAUUAGCCGCCUUUCCCGGAAUAAUACGUUUCGGCAAUGUUACCUACCAAAUAAAAAAAAAGGUCUGCUAGGAAGGGUGUUGGGGUUAACAUUUAAAAAUAUAUAAUUAUAAAUUAAUUUAAAAUUACUAUAUCUAAAAUAAUUUAAGGGGGGGGGGUUAACAUUUAAAAAUAUAUAAUUAUAAACAAAUUUAAAAUUUGAUAUUAAAAUUACUAUAUGUAAAAUAAUUUAAAAAAUUGAGUUUCAAAAAAACAUCAAAACAAAUUUGAAAAAAUAAAAAGUUUGAAAUUGAAUAAAGUUUUUGUGAACAUACAAAAUUUGUAUUUUAUCUUUGUAUUGUUAAAUUAUUUAUUUAAAUAGUUGUUUAUAUAUAUAUUAUUUUUUAUUUAUAGCUUUAAUAAAAUUUCUGUUGUCAAAAAUUGAAUUUAAAAAGAAAAAUAAUAUAAAAUUUUGAAUUGAAUACGGCUUUUUUGAGCAUAAAAUAAAAUUUAUACUUUCUAUUUUCUUAUUUAUUAUAUUUAUAUAUCUAUAGAGUAUAGUUAUUAUUUAUCUAUUUAUGAAAUACUUUUUGGUCAAUUUUUUUUUUGUUUGAAAGUUGGGCUUAUUUGCCAAAUAAUAAAAAAAAAUGAAAAAUUAGAUUUUGGAAGAAAAAGUAGAGAAAUAGGAAAAGAAAGUAAAAAAGAGGAGAAAAUUUUGGUUAGUUAGUGCAUUUAUGUUUUUUUCAUGUAUAUUGAGUGCAAUUUCCUUUGAAAGUUUUUCCUUUAAAAUAAUAUGGGGUUCUUGGUUUAGGGAAUGGAAACAAAAGAAAGGAAAGGAAAUAUGUUAAAGAAAUACGCUGUCGUAAUGGACUUUCAAAGUCUAAAGAGACGUCAAAGUUGUCGGCCACAUGCACUCGUAGACUGUAUUCUUCCACUUAUGCUUUUUCUUUGUUACAAGAUGUCCUUACAAUAUUUCCAAUGUAAAACUCUAUUUUUCCUUCAAAAUUGAAUAAAAAUAAAAAUCGAGUAAAAUUAUUCCAACCUUACUCUAUUUCUUACUUCAUAAUAGAAUGAUAAACAAACAAAAAAUAAAUUACUCCAUUUAUGAAAUAAAUUUCAUUAUAAAGUGAGAUAUAGAGUUGGGUUGGAGCAUUCCUUACUCCAUAUUCACUUUUACUCCAUUUUAAAAGAAAAAAUAGAGUAAGGAUUGAGAUACCCUUAAUAAAUGUAAUGCUUGUUGCAAAUACGACUCAAAACUUAAAGUCAAACACCAAACUAAUUCUUGAUUUUGUUAAAAUUUUAUUUGUUAAAUUUAUCCCAAAAGUUUGGAUUAUCCUUGAAAAUGUCAUAAAUUUCUUCUUUUUUUAAAUAAAUAUUUUACUCUAUCAUUCUCAUCUUCAUCAAGUAUUUACAAUAUUGUCAUUGCCAUGAAUACACAACCACCAUAAACAACCAAUUUGAAGUUUUUAAUGUAUCUAAAAAAAUGAUUUUUAGUCAUUCUAUUUUAUUUCUUAUGCACUAAAACAUUUCUUUCACUUUUUCUCUACGUUCAUCCAAAAAAUCUCAAGAUUUUGAUUCGAAACUUUUUAAAGUUCAAAGAGCCAUUCAAGCUUAUGAUUAUUGGUCAUUAACAAGUAGGUCAUUUUGGUGGUGAAGUUUUUUGUGGUUGGAGAAGCUAAGCAAGUUAUCUCACUGUCACUGGUUGAAACUAUGAAAUCAAUUAUUUUUUCUAGAUUUGUCUAUCAGAAGACUUCCGUAUAAGUCUUCACAUCGGAGAAGAUUUACACGAAAGUCUUCUGACCAAUGCAUAUGUUAGUUUUCCAAUUGACUUUAUGUGAGUUUUUAGAGACGAUUUCUCUAGAAGUUUUCUAACUUUUCUGUGUUAACAAAAAACACUAAAAAUACCAGAGAAGAUUUCCAAGUAAGUCGUAUAUGAACAACAUGUUAGUUUUACAAUUGACCGGAUUGCUUCAGAAAUUUAACUUUCUCUAGACGACUUACAGGGAAGUCGUCCGCUAGAAAAUUUCCAUGUAAGUCUUCCGAACUCUCUGUGGAAGUCAUCUCACUGUCGAUGAAAGUUGUCUUAGGUUACUUUUGCAACUGAACAUAAAAAUUAAAAUAUUUAUUUUAAUUAGAUGACUUACAUUUAAGUCUUUCGGGUGACUACUUACACGAAAGUCUUCCAAAAUUUUAUUUCGAGAUUCUGGUCAAACCUUGGUUAUCAUAGAAGACUUUCGUGUAAGUCAUCUGCCGAAGACUUACUUGGAAGUCAUACUAAUUAAUAUAAAAUAUAUAAUUUUAUUUUACAAUUUCAAAAGUAAGAUGAGAUUACUUACAUGGAAGUCGUCUAGUUAAAAUUAAAUAUUUAAAUUUUAUUUAUUGGCAGAAGGAUUCCUUUUAAGCCGUCUAGAGAAAGUCAAAUAUCUGACAUAAUCCGGCCAAUUGCUUAACUAACCUGUUCUAGACGACUUACCGGGAAGUCUACUCUAGUAUUUUUAAUAUUUUUUUAAAAAACAAAAGUAAGCCCAUAUUUACAAAGAAAGACAUACAAAGAAGUCUGUUGUAGAGUAGACUUCUCUAGAAGUAUUCCUUUGUAAAUUUUCAAUUGCAAAAAUGACCUAAAUCGAAGACUUCGUAGAAGUCGAAUGGCACUUCUACGUUAAUGUUUAAUAAAACUUUCAUCUUCUAUAAAAUUAUAAAGACUUUUUAACAUUUUUUUUGUUAAUUCAUGUACAUUAGUCAAUAUUGGGGCUCCUGGAUGAAAUUCAUAACUUAAUUGAUGAUAAUAAUGAGGUUAACAAUAUUCAUAUGUUAGUUUUUGUAAAGCUUGUAUUUUCAACUUUAAGAUAUGUUUUUAAACUUUCAAAAGUGUUAAAAAAAACUUCAAAAAUAUCAAGUCGUAUGAUUUAAUUUGUCUUCUUAGAUCAUAAUAUAUACUUUUUAACUUUCAAUAAUUUGAAAUAUCAAUUUUCACUUAAAAUUUGAGUUUUCCGCUUAAAUUUUAAUUUUCCGCUUAAAUUUUAAUUUUCCGCUUAAAUUUUAAUUUCCCGCUUUAAAAUUUUCGCUGGAAAUUUAAGUCUUCCCAGAAGUUUUCUGAGAAGAAGUCUUCCGGAAGACAUCCCAGAAAACUUCCUAGUGCAUUAAAUGUUUGAAGACUUUCAUGGAAGUCUUCCAAAUCUGUCUCAGAUCUGAAAAACCUGCAUAUACAAAAGCAUUCAAAUAACUUCAAAACAUAGAAAAAAUUCAAAAUUACAGUAAGAACUUAAAACAAUCAAAAAAGUUUUCAAAAAGUAGCUUUAAACAAUAAGAGGUUACCAAAUGAAAAAAAAAUGAUUUAUAGAUCUAUCUUUAAAGGAGUGGAAGAUGAAAACCAUGUAAUGAAAAACUUGCAAAAACAAAUAAAUCAGUAAGAAGACAUGAAAUAACAAUAAAUUGAUAUAAAUUUUGGUGUUUUUAAGUUCAAAGAGAUUAGAGAGAGGUUGGAGAGUUUUAGAAUAAGAAACAUUACAUUUUUGUGGCAGCCAUUUGAGAGGAAUAUAUAUAAUGUGUAAAUUUUCUUUAUAUAAAAGGAGACAAAAAUUCCAAUAAUGUUAAAUAUUUUCGAUUCAAAAGACUUUCAAGUAAGUCUUCUAAUCCUAAAAGAUUUACUUGAAAGUCUUCUAGAAAUUUACUAUUCGCCUAGAAGACUUUAAUAUUUUUGUGGGAAAUUAAAAUAUUUUUAGCGGAAAACUAAAAUAUUUUUAGCGGGAAUUCAAAUACUUUCAAGGAAGUCUUCUACCCAUAAAAUACUAUUCACCAGAAGACUUUCUUGAAGUUGCCUAGACCCUAAAUAUAAACCAUAAACUCAAAUAACUAACUAAAUAGAAGCAAACAGUUUAUUAAACUUAAAAAGUGUUUAAUAUACAAAAAACUAAACACAUAUAAGUCAAAAUUUAAUUUUCCAGAAAAAGUUAACUUUCAUAAUCUAAACCUAAGAAAACAUAUAAUACUACAACAUAUGUUACCAAACUCUUAACCAAAAAAUACCAUGACACACUGCAUUCAUUUAUCUAUGUUAAAAACAAUUCAAUUUUACUAUAUCUUAGUUUAUAUCAUUUACAAAUAUUUAUAAUUACAUGAUUUCAAUUUUAUCUCCAUCAAAAUAUUUUUUAUAAAAUUUAUAAAUUACUUUUAAGAUGUACUAUAUGAGAAGACUUUCUAUAAGUUUUUCAGAAGACUUAGGGAACCUCAAAAUACUUAAAAACCUCAGAAGACUUUACAGAGAUAUAUUCGUAAAAAUGAAUUCUGUUUUUUUUUGUCAUAAGGAGCUGGUUUUAAUUUCAAUAGAUUUUGUGUUAUUUUUGUAUUUGAUUCAAGUUUGAGUAUACUUUUGUGGUUAAAAUCAAGUUUUGAGUGAUAUUUGGCAAAUUUCCCAUAAAUAAUUACCUAAAAUCCUCAUUUAUUAAGUCAAAUUUUUAAUUUUCUAAUAAUUUUUAGUUAUAUUCUUACUAAAAUGAUGAUAUAAAUGAUACAACUGUUUGUUGACAAAAAAAAUGAUACAACUGUUUGAUAAAAAAAAUGAUACAACUAUUUGAUUUUUUCUAUCAUGAAACCCAAAGAUAACAUGCUCUAAAGCUGCAUGUAUUUUUUUUCUCUGCAUCACGGUGUUUCUUCUUUUUCCUCUUGUGAUGCUUUAACUUAAUUUGACUUGAGCGAUAUUAAAUUAGAUAACUCUACCCAUGUUUCCACUAGCCACUGAAAAAUAAUAAACAAACUGGGGAAGUAUAUACGUAUAUAUAUAUAUAUAUAUAUAUAUAUAUAUAUAUAUGUGUGUAAAUGGAAGAGAAACUAGAUUUGUGAAUGUAGAUUAGAGAAGCAGCAUUAUGAGUCAAAACAACUCACAAGUCUCGACAAUUCUAAUUGUUUUGCUCCUUCUAUGUCCUGUAUUUCUCAGUCAGUUACAAGCUCUUUCUGUUGGAUUAACAUUACACCGCAAAAUCAUAGGAGAAAAAGAUGGAAUGCGACAAAUUGUAUACCAAAGAAAGGUACGAGUAACGCCAAGUGGCUCAAGAAGAGGCCCAUCAAAGGGUCGUCCUCCAGGCUCCCCAAAGCUAUGAUCUCCUCGUUAGCUUUAUCAUAUACUAUAUUAGGGUCUAUCCGCGCUUUGAUUUACAUGUGAUAUAUCUAACUAUAUAAUUGUAUACUUUCGUUGUAUUUUAUGUUCGUUUUUGUAAAAGCAGUGUAUUCUGAUGUUUAUGGUUUCAAAUAGUAUUAGGGUUUGUAGGAAUUAUGUUUGAGGUGAAUGUGGACUUUCUUA